UGGUGGAGUGAUUUGUCUGGUUAAUUCCGUUAACGAACGAGACCUCGACCUGCUAAAUAGUUUGGUGAAUGCUCCGGCAUUUAUUUAUGACUUCUUAGAGGGACUAUCGGUGAUUUAGCCGAUGGAAGUUCGAGGCAAUAACA
rnacentral:rRNA from 1 species